CAGUAGCCGCGGUAAUACGGAGGGUGCAAGCGUUAUCCGGAUUUAUUGGGUUUAAAGGGUCCGUAGGCGGACUUAUAAGUCAGUGGUGAAAGCCUGUCGCUUAACGAUAGAACUGCCAUUGAUACUGUAAGUCUUGAGUAUAUUUGAGGUAGCUGGAAUAAGUAGUGUAGCGGUGAAAUGCAUAGAUAUUACUUAGAACACCAAUUGCGAAGGCAGGUUACCAAGAUAUAACUGACGCUGAGGGACGAAAGCGUGGGUAGCGAACAGGAUUAGAUACCCCUGUAGUCCCUGUCUCUUAUAA
rnacentral:rRNA from 1 species